rnacentral:misc_RNA from 1 species
UCCGUUUUGUCACCGGCAGUCUCCUAUGAGUCCCCGACAUUACUCGCUGGCAACAUAGAACAGGGGUUGCGCUCGUUGCGGGACUUAACCCAACAUCUCACGACACGAGCUGACGACGGCCAUGCACCACCUGUCACCUAUCCAGCCGAACUGACUGCCUAGUUUCCUAGGCAUACGAUAGGGAUGUCAAGCCUCGGUAAGGUUCUGCGCGUAGCAUCGCAUUAAACCACAUGAUCCACUGCUUGUGCGGAGCCCCGUCAAUUCCUUUGAGUUUUAAUCUUGCGAUCGUACUCCCCAGGCGGCAUAUUUAACGCGUUAGCUUCUCAGCACAGAGGGUCGAUACUCCAUACUAAUAAUAUGCAUCGUUUACGGCGUGGACUAC